AAUUUCUUCACUCACAAGUUUUCGCGAUAGUUUGAAAUUUUUGGUUCAUGAGACACGUUGUACUAUAUUCUGCUGUUUCCGCAGUGAUUUGAUUGUUUGUGUGUAUUUAGAAGCGAUGGUUGCAGAAAAAGAUCGAAGAAUGCUGCAGCUUAUUAUUAUUUAAUAGCUUCCCGAAAAGAUCUCAUAAAUUUUGGGUACGCGAUUGGAUUAAGCAAAGACAAAAACACAAUUUAAUGACUAGCUUAUUGGAAAAGUUAGAAUUAAAAGAUCAGGAGUGUUACAAAAAUUUUCUCAGGAUGUCGGCGGCCGAUUUUUAGUAUUUACUUAGCAAAAUAAAACCUGCGAUAGCAAAAGAGAAUACAUUCAUGCGAAAUUCAAUUCCAGCAGCUGAGAGAUUAGCACUGACUCUUCGGUUUCUAGCAACAGGUGAUAGCUACCACUCACUUAUGUAUUUAUUUCGUAUACCUGUUUGUACUAUAUCAAUAAUAAUAUAUGAAGUGUGCUCCGCAAUUUAUAAUAUUCUAAAAGAAGAAUACCUACAUACACCAACCACUAAAGAAGAGUGGUUAAAAAUUUCACAGCACAUUGAGGAUAAAUGGAACUUUCCGAACUGCUUAGGUGCCCUUGAUGGUAAACAUAUACAUAGUAAAGCACCUCAACAUAGUGGAAGUCUGAAACACAGAAUAUCGGUUUUGUUUCAGAGAAUAGUGAAACUCACGAACAGCAAGUGAGACAAAUAUUUCAAAUGAAACACGACGCAUAUCACGUAUACACGUUGAGACUUGUUCAUGAAAUAAAUGUCUCGUAAAAUAA